UACGAAGGGGGCUAGCGUUGUUCGGAAUCACUGGGCGUAAAGCGCACGUAGGCGGUUUUCCAAGUCAGAGGUGAAAGCCCGGGGCUCAACUCCGGAAUUGCCUUUGAACCUGGGAGACUUGAACACGGGAGAGGUGAGUGGAAUUCCGAGUGUAGAGGUGAAAUUCGUAGAUAUUCGGAGGAACACCAGUGGCGAAGGCGGCUCACUGGCCCGUUGUUGACGCUGAGGUGCGAAAGCGUGGGGAGCAAACAGG
rnacentral:rRNA from 1 species